CAGGCUCCAUGCAGGGAGCCCGACGUGGGACUUGAUCCCGGGACUCCAGGAUCACACCCUGGGUCAAAGGCAGGCGCCAAACCGCUGAGCCACCCAGGGAUCCCCUGUUUUAUUCAUUUUUAUGUUUCCAGUAACUAAAACGGAGUUUGGCACAAAAACUUGUGUGACUCCAACACCUGUGCCUACAUACUGACAGUUCACUGUGAAGAAGUUGAAAAGACUGAAUGUCCAUAUUCUUCCCACUUCUGACCGAGCUCAAGGUGAUGAGCAAGGGACACUGCUAGUAUUUGUGAACUCCGCUGGCAAGACUAAGGCUUCAAGGCAAACUCCACAAGUUACAAUAACUUUGGCACUUGGACUUGUGCAUCUAUGUUGCAAGGCUGGUUAUGGCAAACUCUGAUCCCAGGUUUCAUGCCUUGGUGUUCAAGGUUUCCAGGUACUAGAUCUGUACCUUCUUUUCCUGUCCUCUUUCCCAAAUGACAAUAAUACAGAACUUAGUAUUUUUCACGUAUUAAAAUUCAGUAUAGGGAAAAGACCAGGAUUAAUAUCCUAAGAAUAGGAAUUACAGGGGCACCUGGCUGGCUCUGUUCGUGGAGCUUGCGACUUGUGAUCUCAGGGUUGUGAGUUCCAGCCCCAUGUUGGGUGUGGAGAUUACUUAAAAAUAUAAUCUUAACAAAAACAAAAAGAACAGGAAUUACAACGUGAGUACAUUAAAAUCUACUUGUUUAGAUUUAAAAGUUAACUUAAAAAGUGGUUAUUUAUUUGAUGGUUCUUUAGCUGUUUAAUGUUACAGAUAUUUUUCAAUCAAAGAUAUAAAAGUACUUAUUCAGGAAGAGCCAGCACCUGAAUCUAAGGCAAGAUUCAUGUAUUUCAUGGCCUUGUAAAUAAAUAUACAGAAAAGCUUUUCAAAGUAAAAUCUGUGAAACUAAAAAAAUAAAAUGAUAACUCUGUGACA